rnacentral:piRNA from 1 species
UCCAUACGUUAUUCUGGCAGACAAAGC